ACAAUAACCCAGAUACUACUUGUCAGUGAGCACUGCACUAAGGUAUGAAGGUGUAACAUGCACAAGAUAGCUACUAGCUUUCCGGAUCCACGUCAAAAUAUCAUUUUGCCUAUCGAUUUAAUAUCCAACAGAAAAACAUAACUGCAGCUGACACCCACGGCAAUCAUGAGCAGAGGCAGGUACCACCUUGGUUCAGCUAAUGUGUUUCCUUAUCUUGAAAGCAGUCUAUGGACAAGGGCAGACUGCAAUCUACACUUUUAUUUCAUUAACUAGCCAGUUACAACUAAUGCUAAUAAGUAUUUUAGGACCAAAAAAUAAAAGACCUCCCUUUACCCCUUUCAGUAUGUUUUAAAUGUCAUGUCCAGAUCAUCUCUUAAAUUGAUUGUCACUCAAUGACUUGGUUUUACAUGAUUUUGCAAUGAUUAUGGCAUGAUUUAAUGGGAUACUAGGCAUUUUGGCAAUGAGGCCCUUUAUCUACUUCCCCAGAGUCAGAUGAACUUGGAGAUAUAGUGUUUAUGUCUCUGUGUCCAUCUAGUAUGAAUGAAGUUAGAGGUUGUUUCGCCAACUGGAAGUCUAUGGGUAUCGACUAGCAUGGUAGUCGAUACCCAUGAGAGGUUGACUUGAAAGUAGUGCCAACUGUCAUUAGUUAGCAGUGGCUCGUUAAUUGAAACCAAAUUGUGGAUUACAGUCAGUUCUUAUUCACAUAUUGCAUUCAAGCUAAGAAAACAAACUAUCUAAAAAUGUAAUUACGCUGAACAAUCCCUUUAAGGUGUUCAGAAGUAGUUAACAUUCAGAUUUAUUUCCAGAGUAAAAAGCACAUUUUUUAGGUUAUUGUGCUGUAGAAUUUAGUAUUUAAUUUGUGUUAAGCUGUUUUUCAAAUUAUUGUAAUAAUGUUCAAUUGUUAAUUACCUAGUGUCGUAGUUGAUCAGAGUUGUUAAAUUGCUUAACUAGUAAAAUUGCACAACUAUAACAAACGAUGCCAAUUUGUGUGCUGAAGAGAACAAAGAAGACAGUGUAAAAUAAAGAAACACAACUUGCCUUCUCAUUAUGAGGGGAAAUGGGAUAACAGCUCAAACGGAGUAGGGCUGCUUGAAUUGGGUUUGAACAGCAUUUAAAAUACAAUCAUUACUUACUGUAUGUGAUCUUUAUUAAACUUUACAAUACCACUUUUAGGAAACCAACAGCUGCAUAUCUGAAACGGAAGGAAAAAAAUGAAGAAAGCUUAAAGUCAUCAGGAACAGCAUUUAUUGGACAGGUUAUAAAGUUUUGGAAUAGUUCCCUGUGGGUGGGAGUUGACAGAAUAGAAUAUUACGUGGAAAAGUUGCUUCACAGCAUCUUUUCUUAGGUCACAUUCAUGAUGUCCGUCUUCUUCCAAAUGACUUCUUUGAGUCUCAAGCGGUGAAGGACGAAUUAGAAACAAGAUUUCAAAUGGCAUUCCACAAUUACAUGUCUCCACCCCGUCAGACUCCAUUUUCCAUUCUUCUGACUUUGGCUGUCAGGAUUUGUGGUCAUGAGAACGAAGAUAAAAUACAAGAAAAUCUUCUAAGUUUCCUGGAAGCAUUGAAAUUGCCCCCCAAAAUAAAAGGCGAGAGUAACUACACCAACUACUACACUCUGGAGGCUACUGUCAUAGCUGUGUGCUACAACGAAACCCCUGGAGUCCUCAGACCAGUGAAGUACUAUGGAGCAUCCCUGUCCUGCAGAGGGGAGAGAGCAAGGAGAAUUAUGAUCAAUCAGUCAUGUCUAAACGUGUGGCAUAACUAUGUGUCUUAUGCAGUGUUGGCAUUCAGACAUGAGCAGAGAAACGGUAUCAUCUUCCCUGGCACCGUAAAAUGCAGAGCAUUCUACAGGAAUCACAAGACCAAUUGUUAUGAAGCCCGAAGGCCGUGCAAGAACUGUGGGGAUCUUUUCUCUCUCUCAAACCCUGAUACGGUCAGAAAGGACUUUCCCUACGGAAACUGUGCCGAAACGGAGUGCCUGAGUAAACUUAUUUCCAAAGAUAGGGAAGUCCGGAGCAACAUGAUUUUGGGAAUCAACUACACAAGGGAAAACCGGAGAGGUCUUAGAGAAAAAGCAAAAACAGCUUUGGGACAGAGUCUUAUGGCAUAGGUCUACUUAGCACCUCUGAACAGUGUGCAUUUGGCCGUCAUUUUCAAACCAACUGCAAACUGUGACUGUGUAAACUUCUAUUAUGUGAUCAGGAUGUCUGCAGCAAUAUGAGUUUUGUACACUACACAAGAGAAAAUGUCUUAGAAAAAUGACAGAAAACGCUUUUAAACAUUUAGGUUUUGUUUCACACAGGUUUUAUACAUGGUGUUGUUGCUGUGUUUGACUUGGAAGAUGCCUCUGAAACUACAAGAACAAUGGUGUUCUUUAAUCACUCAACUGUGAUAAAGGCAACUGUGCCAGAGUCAUAAUGCACAAGUAAAUGGUUUCUGUCACUGAGAGUUGUGAAUUACAGCUCGGACAAACAAUACAAUUAUUACCACUAAUAACAGACAUAAAAAGCAGCCACCUUGAGAAUACAGUUGUUUUACUUUUUGGUUUGGUCUUUGUGUUUGGUUGUUUACUUUUAAUUUAUUUAUUUUGGGUGAUGUUUAAUUGUAAUAAGCUAGCAACUUUGUCCAUUGUUAAAUAGUCUGCCAUGUGCUUUGUGUCACAGUGGAAAAUGAAUAGAAUUAAAACGAACACAUUUCUGAUGUGACAGGAAACUGCAGAAAGGGUGUGACACUGAACUUGUUUGAAUGUAUUCAGUGAAACCCCAGCUGAAAGAGUGGACUAAAACAACAGACAGCACAAUGAAUAUCGAACAUUGUGUUUCUUUAUGACACAAACUUAUCUUGUAAAUAUUUUGAAUCCAUCAAUAAAUGAGAAUUGUUCAAAGUUG